rnacentral:rRNA from 1 species
AGGGUUUGAUCCUGGCUCAGGGUUAACGCUGGCGGCGUGCCUUACACAUGCAAGUCGAACGGGGCAUACAGCGAUGUAUGCUUAGUGGCGAACGGGUGAGGAAGACGCAGGGACCUACCGAGCAGAGGGGGAUACCCGCUGGAAACGGCGGAUAAAACCGCAUACGCCCGUGUGAAGAACGCGGGGAAAAGCGCUACGGUGUUACUGGUCGAGGGACCUGCGGCCCAUCAGGUAGUUGGGGAGGUAACGGCUCACCAAGCCGACGACGGGUAUCUGGCGUGAGAGCGCGAACAGGCACAAGGACACUGAGAGACGGGUCCUACUCCUACGGGAGGCAGCAGUGGGGAAUUUUGGACAAUGGGCGCAAGCCUGAUCCAGCGACGCCGCGUGUCGGACGGAGUCCUUCGGGAUGUAAACGACUUUUGAUGGAGACGAAAGGGCAGCUCAGGGAAUGGGGCUGCGAUGACGGUAUCCAAUGAAUAAGCCCCGGCUAACUACGUGCCAGCAGCCGCGGUAAGACGUAGGGGGCAAGCGUUACCCGGAAUUACUGGGCGUAAAGGGAGCGUAGGCGGGAGGUCAAGUCCGGUGUGAAAGUCCCUGGCUCAACCAGGGGAUAGGGCUGGAAACUGACAAUCUUGAGUACAGCAGAGGAAGAGGGAAUUACCGGUGUAGGGGUGAAAUCCGUAGAGACCGGUAGGAAGGCCAGUGGCGAAGGCGCUUUUCUGGGCUGUUACUGACGCUGAGGCUCGAAAGCCAGGGGAGCAAACCGGAUUAGAUACCCGGGUAGUCCUGGCCGUAAACGAUGCUCACUAGGUGUGGGGCACAGAGCGUGUUCUGCGCUGAAGCAAACGCAAUAAGUGAGCCGCCUGGGGAGUACGUCCGCAAGGAUGAAACUCAAAGGAAUUGACGGGGGCCCGCACAAGCGGUGGAGCGUGUGGUUUAAUUCGACGUUAAGCGAAGAACCUUACCAGGUCUUGACAUAUCCGUGGUAGUGAACUGAAAGGGGAACGACGGAGGCGAAUGCCUUCGAGCGGAUACAGGUGGUGCAUGGUCGUCGUCAGCUCGUGCCGUGAGGUGUUGGGUUAAGUCCCGCAACGAGCGCAACCCCUGUGGUUAGUUGCCAACACGAAGGUGGGCACUCUAGCCAGACUGCCGCCGACGAGGCGGAGGAAGGAGGGGAUGAUGUCAGAUCAUCAUGCCCUUUAUGAUCUGGGCUACACACGCGCUACAAUGGGGUGAGCAGAAGGGGACGAGGCUGCGAAGCCGAGGGAAUCCGGAAAACGCCCCCCAGUUCAGAUUGCAGGCUGCAACUCGCCUGCAUAAAGAUGGAAUCGCUAGUAAUCGCAGAUCAGCAUGCUGCGGUGAAUACGUUCCCGGGCCUUGUACACACCGCCCGUCACACCACCCGAGUUGGGAAUACCUGAAGGUGGCGGAAGCCAACCGGCAACGGAGGCAGCCAGCGAAGGUAGGCCUAGUGAGGGGGGUGAAGUCGUAACAAGGCAGGUGUACCGGAAGGUGCGCCUG